UACGAAGGGGGCAAGCGUUGUUCGGAAUUACUGGGCGUAAAGGGCGCGUAGGCGGCUUAUCAAGUCAGGCGUGAAAUUCCCGGGCUCAACCUGGGGGCUGCGCUUGAUACUGAUGAGCUUGAAUGCGGGAGAGGAUAGUGGAAUUCCCAGUGUAGAGGUGAAAUUCGUAGAUAUUGGGAAGAACACCGGUGGCGAAGGCGACUACCUGGCCCAUUCUUGACGCUGAGGCGCGAAAGCUAGGGGAGCGAACGGG
rnacentral:rRNA from 1 species